rnacentral:rRNA from 1 species
GAUGAACGCUGGCGGCGCGCCUAACACAUGCAAGUCGAACGGCACCUAUCUUCGGAUAGAAGCGAGUGGCGAACGGCUGAGUAACACGUGGAGAACCUGCCCCCUCCCCCGGGAUAGCCGCCCGAAAGGACGGGUAAUACCGGAUACCCCGGGGUGCCGCAUGGCACCCCGGCUAAAGCCCCGACGGGAGGGGAUGGCUCCGCGGCCCAUCAGGUAGACGGCGGGGUGACGGCCCACCGUGCCGACAACGGGUAGCCGGGUUGAGAGACCGACCGGCCAGAUUGGGACUGAGACACGGCCCAGACUCCUACGGGAGGCAGCAGUGGGGAAUCUUGCGCAAUGGGGGGAACCCUGACGCAGCGACGCCGCGUGCGGGACGGAGGCCUUCGGGUCGUAAACCGCUUUCAGCAGGGAAGAGUCAAGACUGUACC